rnacentral:rRNA from 1 species
AGAGUUUGAUCAUGGCUCAGAUUGAACGCUGGCGGCAGGCCUAACACAUGCAAGUCGAACGGUAACAGGAAACAGCUUGCUGUUUCGCUGACGAGUGGCGGACGGGUGAGUAAUGUCUGGGAAACUGCCUGAUGGAGGGGGAUAACUACUGGAAACGGUAGCUAAUACCGCAUAACGUCGCAAGACCAAAGAGGGGGACCUUCGGGCCUCUUGCCAUCAGAUGUGCCCAGAUGGGAUUAGCUAGUAGGUGGGGUAACGGCUCACCUAGGCGACGAUCCCUAGCUGGUCUGAGAGGAUGACCAGCCACACUGGAACUGGGACACGGUCCAGACUCCUACGGGAGGCAGCAGUGGGGAAUAUUGCACAAUGGGCGCAAGCCUGAUGCAGCCAUGCCGCGUGUAUGAAGAAGGCCUUCGGGUUGUAAAGUACUUUCAGCGGGGAGGAAGGGAGUAAAGUUAAUACCUUUGCUCAUUGACGUUACCCGCAGAAGAAGCACCGGCUAACUCCGUGCCAGCAGCCGCGGUAAUACGGAGGGUGCAAGCGUUAAUCGGAAUUACUGGGCGUAAAGCGCACGCAGGCGGUUUGUUAAGUCAGAUGUGAAAUCCCCGGGCUCAACCUGGGAACUGCAUCUGAUACUGGCAAGCUUGAGUCUCGUAGAGGGGGGUAGAAUUCCAGGUGUAGCGGUGAAAUGCGUAGAGAUCAGGAGGAAUACCGGUGGCGAAGGCGGCCCCCUGGACGAAGACUGACGCUCAGGUGCGAAAGCGUGGGGAGCAAACAGGAUUAGAUACCCUGGUAGUCCACGCCGUAAACGAUGUCGACUUGGAGGUUGUGCCCUUGAGGCGUGGCUUCCGGAGCUAACGCGUUAAGUCGACCGCCUGGGGAGUACGGCCGCAAGGUUAAAACUCAAAUGAAUUGACGGGGGCCCGCACAAGCGGUGGAGCAUGUGGUUUAAUUCGAUGCAACGCGAAGAACCUUACCUGGUCUUGACAUCCACGGAAGUUUUCAGAGAUGAGAAUGUGCCUUCGGGAACCGUGAGACAGGUGCUGCAUGGCUGUCGUCAGCUCGUGUUGUGAAAUGUUGGGUUAAGUCCCGCAACGAGCGCAACCCUUAUCCUUUGUUGUCAGCGGUCCGGCCGGGAACUCAAAGGAGACUGCCAGUGAUAAACUGGAGGAAGGUGGGGAUGACGUCAAGUCAUCAUGGCCCUUACGACCAGGGCUACACACGUGCUACAAUGGCGCAUACAAAGAGAAGCGACCUCGCGAGAGCAAGCGGACCUCAUAAAGUGCGUCGUAGUCCGGAUUGGAGUCUGCAACUCGACUCCAUGAAGUCGGAAUCGCUAGUAAUCGUGGAUCAGAAUGCCACGGUGAAUACGUUCCCGGGCCUUGUACACACCGCCCGUCACACCAUGGGAGUGGGUUGCAAAAGAAGUAGGUAGCUUAACCUUCGGGAGGGCGCUCACCACUUUGUGAUU